GACCGAGGGUGCAAACGUUGUUCGGAAUUACUGGGCGUAAAGCGCGUGUAGGCUGCUCUGCAAGUCGGAUGUGAAAGCCCUGGGCUCAACCUAGGAAGUGCACUCGAAACUGCGGAGCUUGAGUCUCGGAGAGGAUCGCGGAAUUCUCGGUGUAGAGGUGAAAUUCGUAGAUAUCGAGAGGAACACCGGUGGCGAAGGCGGCGAUCUGGACGAUGACUGACGCUGAGACGCGAAAGCGUGGGGAGCAAACAGG
rnacentral:rRNA from 1 species